CUGAUACCUACAUGUCCAGGAGGACGGAGUUAACAAGGUCGGGUGAGACUGGAGAGCCUUGCGCGGAGACGCAGAUGCUGCCAAAAGAAAGAUUAAAGGCCAGCGCAGAGACAGGGAUGCACGGGCUGACCCCGUCCAUUACUGAGCACCCACAACUCUCAUCAAAGUCAACAGGUGAUACAGCUGCUCAGUACAUUUCAGGCUCAGGCACUGAAGAUGAACCAGCACCAGCUAAUAUACCUUAGGCCUCUGUUAACUCCUUGCGGAUCCCCCUAUGCAGCUGCUAAUGAAAAGCCACAGGGACUGCCAGUAGCAACACAGCUCAAAACAAACUGUGAGAGAAGGAUACCAGAGCACCAUGGAAAAAAGGUACUCACCCUGCAAACAGCUCCUGCCUCUUCAGAUCUAAGAAAAGGAGAACCUCAUUUUCACUUAUCUCCGUAUUUUGGGUCAUGAGGUCAUGUGACCCCACCUCGUCCAAUAGCUAGCUGGUCAAUAGUUUAAGAAACCUCAGUAUUGACUGCUGGGCAAAUGAUCGUGCAGAGAAAAUGACCAAACAUCCAUCAAUUGGAUUGUGUUUGGCAACACAAGGGUGUUUGCAGUGAACUCAUACAGAUAACUGGGUCAGUCUACUAAAGAUACAUGUGUCAUCAGCUUUAAAGCAAUUGAUUCUGUUAAAAGUGAAAUGAAGAUGCAAUUGGAACCGUCUUUGGUCCUUAGCCAAAACCCUUUGAAGUCAAAGCUCCCAUCAGUUGCAAUGGGCUUUAAAUCAGGCCCUUUGUGUGUAUGAACAACAGCUCCUUAGUCAGUCUCCCAAAAUAAAUCAAAUACAUUAAGACAUUUUUUUGUAAAUUAUUUAAGUGCAGCCAAGUUGCCAAAAUGCAUUUAAACAUGUCAGCUUCCGUGCUGAUUUCCAGCCUUGUGUAAUCCCACUGACACCAGGAGGAUUCUAAUCUGUCAGUCAGCACAGGAUGCAGCCAUUAGAAGUGAACUAUUUUUGAGUGCCCAGAAGGCAGCUGGACAUUUCACAAUAACAUGAAGUCAUGACCACUGCCUCAAAUUGUGCAAGAGUGGGUAAGAAGCAGAUUGCAAAGGAGGAAGGGGUUAUCAUAAUUAGUUAAUGUUGUUACGCAGUAAGGCACACACAUGUCUUGGCGUUUGUAUGGAAAGCUUGUAACAUGCAAUCAUGUAUUAAAGACUGAAUUAUAAUACAUAUGCA